rnacentral:lncRNA from 1 species
AGUAAAUGGGCGUUUACUUUCGCGUUUACUUCGCGUUAACGCGAAAAAGGCGUGUCUUCUAUCUUUUAAAAAAAAGUAAACGCCCGUUUACAGUUUGUAGUAAACGCGCGUUAACGCAGAUUGUCCUCGUAUCCUGGAUACACUGACCUAAUAUAUCACAUGAUAAGGUACAUUAAAAUAUCCAUCUGUCCAUUUUCGAUCAACAUAUUGGCAAUUGCAUUUAAUGAAAUGAGACCUCUUUAAUUAAUUUAUUGAAAAUUAAUCAUUGCAUAUAAGAACAAAAUGGAAAUUCGUCCUGGAACUGUAAAACCUACAAGACUUUCAGUUUACAUUCGUGAGAGGAUAUUAAGUUUUGGAAUAUUUAAUUUUGGCAUAUUUAUUUUUAAAUAUGCCGGUUUAACUGUGAGUCGAUAUUUGUACAUGUAAAUUUUGAACAGAAA